GAUGAACGCUGGCGGCGUGCUUAACACAUGCAAGUCGAACGGUGAAGCAGGAGCUUGCUCCUGUGGAUCAGUGGCGAACGGGUGAGUAACACGUGAGCAAUCUGCCCUGGACUCUGGGAUAAGCGUUGGAAACGACGUCUAAUACCGGAUACGAGGCGUGGGGGCAUCCCCAACGCCUGGAAAGAACUUCGGUCCAGGAUGAGCUCGCGGCCUAUCAGCUAGUUGGUGAGGUAACGGCUCACCAAGGCGACGACGGGUAGCCGGCCUGAGAGGGUGACCGGCCGCACUGGGACUGAGACACGGCCCAGACUCCUACGGGAGGCAGCAGUGGGGAAUAUUGCACAAUGGGCGCAAGCCUGAUGCAGCAACGCCGCGUGAGGGACGACGGCCUUCGGGUUGUAAACCUCUUCUAGCAGGGAAGAAGCGAAAGUGACGGUACCUGCAGAAAAAGCACCGGCUAACUACGUGCCAGCAGCCGCGGUAAAAC
rnacentral:rRNA from 1 species